GGAAUAGUUUUCAUUGGUAAGUUAAGGCGAUUGCUAAUUGUUCGGGGUAACCCUUAGGUGUUCGAAUCACCUCUAUUCCG
rnacentral:tRNA from 1 species